GUUAGGAAUAUUGGACAAUGGGCGCAAGCCUGAUCCAGCCAUGCCGCGUGAACGAUGAAGGCCUUCGGGUUGUAAAGUUCUUUAGCCGAUGAUUAUAAUGACUGUAGUCGGAAAAUAAGCCCCGGCUAACUUCGUGCCAGCAGCCGCGGUAAUACGAAGGGGGCGAGCGUUAUUCGGAAUCACUGGGCGUAAAGCGUGCGUAGGCGGUCUCGUAAGUUAGGAGUGAAAGCCCAGGGCUCAACCUUGGAAUUGCUCUUAAUACUGCAAGGCUAGAAUCUCGGAGAGGAUAGCGGAAUUUCCAGUGUAGCAGUGAAAUGCGUAGAUAUUGGAAGGAACACCAGUGGCGUAAGCGGCUAUCUGGACGAGUAUUGACGCUGAGGCACGAAAGCGUGGGGAUCAAACAGGAUUAGAAACCCUUGUAGUCC
rnacentral:rRNA from 1 species